GCUCCUUUGACCUGUCCGAUGAAAUGCUGGUUAUGUUCUACAGUUACUACACACAGGACCAUGUAACACCCCGAAACCCAACUCUUGGGAUCUUAUUGGUAAAGCUAAAUGGGAGGCGUGGAAAGCCUUAGGAAAUGUGUCAAAGGACCAAGCCAUGCUGGAAUAUGUUCAGGAAAUACAGCUGGUUGUAAAGAUUGUAGAGAUGAAGCUCUCUCACACUGAGGUAUCAAUAAAAAAUAGUUUAAACCAGAAACAAUAAAAUGUUUGAUUACAGAUAAUAGAAACCCUCCUGGUCACAGACAGGAUGGCAGAAUUAAUGGACACUCCUGACCCAUUUUAUGAGAUAGUGUUGGAAGGUGAUGAUGAUGAAGAAGAUGACGAGGCUAGUGAAGCAGCACCCUUAUCCACAGGUACUUUUAUGUAAAAGCAUUUAAUCAUUUAAUCUGAGCCCCUUUAAUCAACAUUUUAUAUUUUGAUGAAUUUUCAAACAGGAGACACUAAUGCUGAAAAAACGGAUGAUGCUGCCGCUGAGAAAGUUAAAGAGGGGGAAAGUGAAAUUAAUGGGGAAAAUAUAGAAGAUGACAUGGAGAUGGAGGAGAGAUUCAAGUGCAUUUGCAGCAGGGAGAGAAGAUUUAUCAGUGUUUAAUGGAAGUGAGGAGAACAGCAUGAUCUUCUCAGCUGAUGACGCUCAUUGUUCACUGAACACUGAGGAGGAAGAGGAGGAACUGGCUUAUGAUGACUCGGAAGAUGAGAUGUACAGUGACUCAAUGGAAAAUACAGCAACACAAGAGAAGGGUUCGGGAGUUCCCAGGGUCCAUUUGGCAGAUGUGAGUGUGACUGGGGCCAACAUGCAACAAGGGGGAAACAGAGCGCCUCAGUGUGGGAGUCAGGAUGGAAAACCACAGGGAGUUACACCCCCUGUCCCCCACCCACCGACACUUGGACCGGUCCAAACUAACAGAAUCUCAGCAGGCAGUGGAAGAGGCUGAAAUCAUUCCCCUCAAAGCUUGGCACUCUUAAGUCACCAAAAAAG
ensembl:lncRNA